CCUAGGCCGGGCUAUAGGGGCCAGGGCCUUGGGCUGCGCCGGCCGCGGGAGGUGGGUGCUUCUCGGCGGCGAGCUGCGACUCGGAGAGACUCCUGUCCGCAGGUGCAUGGCUUCCGGGCGGGCCUCGGGCAGCGAGCUCCAGCCCCACUGAGAGGCCGCGGACCGCCUGGGGACUUGUGUUUGUGUGUAUUUUAAGCCAACAGCCCAGAAAGGGAAGGCGACUGGCCCCCGGUCUUCGCCAGUGUUUCCCGGCCGGGUUACUGGUGGUCAGGAGGGAAGCCAGGAGGCUGCCGGGCUCCGAGGCCGAUUCCUUGCGAACCAUCUCCGUUAAAGACUCCGCGCCGGGCAGCCCGGGAGUCCGGCGGUACCCGCGCAAACUUUGUCCCAGCGCCUUGGCUCACCGUGAAUGCCCUGCCUUGAAAAUUUGGAGUUUUUUGUUUCCUGAAAGUGGUCUGCUUUUCCGAUUUUAUCUGUGUUUUCCAUUUUUACCUUCUUAUUGUCAAUUUGUUUUCAGGCAUUAUUAAUUCAACAAAUCUUUGUACUGCCCCUUACCACGUGUCGAUGGUUCCGUGGUUUGGUGGAAAUAGAUCGCGCUUUGAAGUCAAGACGGAUCGGCCAUGGAAUUUUGGCUCUGAGAUCCUCUGUGUAACCGUGGAUGAGCUACAAGGCCUGCUGAGCCUCCAUUUGUCUGGUUUUUGUGGUUGUUUUAAUUUAUCUUUUUCCAUUUGAAGUUGUGGGUUUUGCAUAAAAUUGAACUGUUACCAGGCUAAGUCAACUGAAAUUGGAAUCUGGGGUACUGCUUGCUUUGAGGUUACUCUUAUACUGUCCACCAUUUGCUGGCUGUGUGAUCUCUAAACCUCUCUGUGCCCUGACUUUUCUAUCUUUAAAAUGGACGUAACAACAGAGGUUUAAUAAUAAGAGGUUUGGAGGUUAAGUGCUAAAAUGCAUAUAAAAUACCUAGCACAGGACACAGUAAAAAGAUUGUUACCGUAUUUCAUUGAAUCUGGUUUUAAGACACUUCCUGAUUUCAAAGAAACUAAAAGCUCAUCUUGAAGUCCAGGAAGUAGGUUUUGGGUCACUCAGAACUCCCAAGGGACUGUAUUUGGUAGUAACUAGUGAUAAACAAACUGGAGUUUAAAUGAGGACUUUGUCACCAGAGAUAUUUUUAUUGCCUGUAUGGAGCUCCUGCACAAAUUUAUUCCAUUUCUCUUGUAGAAAGAGAUCCAACCUGGCCGUAAAUGGGGUGUGGUGGAGUAGAAAGAAGGGUAUUAAGUAAAGCUCUGUGUCGAUGCCUUUCUGAGCAUUUUACGGUGUUGGCAUAUGUGAUCCUGGGUAUCAGGAGCCUCAAUUUCUUGGGCUGUAAAAAUGGGGAGAACAACGCUGAUCCCAUUGUCUCCUGAUGGGUAAGUGAUGUCUAUAAAUAAAUUGUAUAGAGAUUAAGGCAUUAUCAGUGCUGUAGUCUGAUAAAAUGGUGGAGCAGAUAGGAAAGCCUACAACAGUACUGAACUGCAGGAGGGACUAAGAGUAAAUAUAGAGAUUUCAUUUGCUUGGUUUUGCAGAGGGUUAGCUAACUAAACAGAUAACUUUGUUUUCGACAGUUACUUCAUUUUUUUCAGUCAGGCAAGAGUAAGGAGAGAGUAACUAAACCAUUUUUUUUCCUCUUUAAAUAAGAGUAAGCAGAAAUAUUAUGGUUAUUUGGGGUUUUCAUGACCUUCAUUCACUUAGCGGUCAGGCUGUUCAAUUUAAAACAACCUUUUGCUUGCUGCCCUGCCAUAUGGGAAAUUUCAUUUCCAAAAAAAGGAUUAAUUUCCAGCCUGGGCGAAACCCUAUCUCUACGGAAAAUAUAAAAAUUAGCGGCCAGGAGCAGUGGCUCAUACCUGUAAUCCCAGCACUUUGG
rnacentral:lncRNA from 1 species